GAUGAACGCUGGCGGCGUGCCUAAUACAUGCAAGUCGAGCGAACGGACGAGAAGCUUGCUUUUCUGAUGUUAGCGGCGGACGGGUGAGUAACACGUGGAUAACCUACCUAUAAGACUGGGAUAACUUCGGGAAACCGGAGCUAAUACCGGAUAAUAUUUUGAACCGCAUGGUUCAAAAGUGAAAGACGGUCUUGCUGUCACUUAUAGAUGGAUCCGCGCUGCAUUAGCUAGUUGGUAAGGUAACGGCUUACCAAGGCAACGAUGCAUAGCCGACCUGAGAGGGUGAUCGGCCACACUGGAACUGAGACACGGUCCAGACUCCUACGGGAGGCAGCAGUAGGGAAUCUUCCGCAAAGGGCGAAAGCCUGACGGAGCAACGCCGCGUGAGUGAUGAAGGUCUUCGGAUCGUAAAACUCUGUUGUUAGGGAAGAACAUAUGUGUAAGUAACUGUGCACAUCUUGACGGUACCUAAUCAGAAAGCCACGGCUAACUACGUG
rnacentral:rRNA from 1 species